rnacentral:lncRNA from 1 species
CUCUUAUAGAUUAAGAUGGAUUCAAACCGGAAUGACAACCCUAUUGAUGAAUCAAUACCAAAUGCUUCACCUGGAUUUCAACCCAGACCCAAUUCUGUUUAAUUACUUGACAACAUACCCGGAAUUUUCAAAACAAUCCUGAAAGAAGUUUUUCGAGUCAACUUACGAAACCUACCUUUCCAAUCAAAUCUUUCAAAUUUUUGCAACCCUAAGUAUUUAAAGGGGUUAUAGAUCACGUUGAUGACAAGAUAUGGCUAAGAGAAAUAGAAAAGAUUGUUGAAAUAGUUGGUGUAGAAUAUGAUAAGAAAACUAUCUUUGCUACUUAAUGAAGAGGCUAAUUAUUGGUGGGAAGCUAAGCAAGUUCUAGAAGAGUC